UACGUAGGGGGCGAGCGUUGUCCGGAUUUAUUGGGCGUAAAGAGCGUGUAGGCGGCCAGGUAGGUCUGCUGUGAAAGCUUGGGGCUCAACCCCGAGUCGGCCGUCGAUACUUCCGGGCUGGAGCACUGUAGAGGCAGGUGGAAUUCCGGGUGUAGCGGUGGAAUGCGUAGAGAUCCGGAAGAACACCGGUGGCGAAGGCGGCCUGCUGGGCAGUAGCUGACGCUGAGGCGCGACAGCGUGGGGAGCAAACAGG
rnacentral:rRNA from 1 species